UACGUAGGGUGCAAGCGUUGUCCGGAAUUAUUGGGCGUAAAGAGCUCGUAGGCGGUUUGUCGCGUCGAAUGUGAAAACCCGGGGCUCAACUCCGGGCCUGCAUUCGAUACGGGCAGACUAGAGUUCGGUAGGGGAGACUGGAAUUCCUGGUGUAGCGGUGAAAUGCGCAGAUAUCAGGAGGAACACCGGUGGCGAAGGCGGGUCUCUGGGCCGAUACUGACGCUGGAGGAGCGAAAGCGUGGGGAGCGAACAGG
rnacentral:rRNA from 1 species